rnacentral:rRNA from 1 species
UACGGGGGGGGCAAGCGUUGUUCGGAAUUACUGGGCGUAAAGGGCUCGUAGGUGGCCAACUAAGUCGGACGUGAAAUCCCUCAGCUUAACUGGGGAACUGCGUCCGAUACUGGAUGGCUUGAGUUUGGGAGAGGGAUGCGGAAUUCCAGGUGUAGCGGUGAAAUGCGUAGAUAUCUGGAGGAACACCGGUGGCGAAAGCGACUUCCUGGACCAAUACUGACGCUCAUGUGCGAAAGCGUGGGGAGCAAACAGG